rnacentral:rRNA from 1 species
UGAAUCACCCACUCUCGCGGCUGGGCACUUCGCCGCUCAGGCCAGCAUCAGCUCGCUGUCGGGACAAAAGCUCAGGAACGUAGCUCUCUUCGGGGAGUGUUAUAGCCUGUUGCAUAAUACCCUUCGGCGGGCUGAGGUACGCGCUCCGCAAGGAUGCUGGCAUAAUGGUCAUCAGCGACCCGUCUUGAAACACGGACCAAGGAGUCAACCUUAUGUGCGAGUGUUCGGGUGUCAAACCCCUACGCGUUAUGAAGAAAGAACGCAGGUGAGAGCUUCGGCGCAUCAUCGACCGAUCCUGAUGUUCUCGGAUGGAUUUGAGUAAGAGCAUAUAGGGUUGGACCCGAAAGAAGGUGAACUAUGCGUGUAUAGGGUGAAGCCAGAGGAAACUUUCGAGGAAGGUCGCAGCGGUUCUGACGUGCAAAUCGAUCGUCAAAUAUGCGCAUGGGGGCGAAAGACUAAUCGAACCUUCUAGUAGCUGGUUUCCGCCGAAGUUUCCCUCAGGAUAGCAGUGUUGAACUCAGUUUUAUGAGGUAAAGCGAAUGAUUAGGGACUCGGGGGCGCUAUAUUGCCUUCAUCCAUUCUCAAACUUUAAAUAUGUAAGAAGCCCUUGUUGCUUAAUUGAACGUGGGCAUUCGAAUGUAUCAACACUAGUGGGCCAUUUUUGGUAAGCAGAACUGGCGAUGCGGGAUGAACCGAACGCGAGGUUAAGGUGCCAGAGUAGACGCUCAUCAGACACCACAAAAGGUGUUAGUACAUCUUGACAGCAGGACGGUGGCCAUGGAAGUCGGAAUCCGCUAAGGACUGUGUAACAACUCACCUGCCGAAUGUACUAGCCCUGAAAAUGGAUGGCGCUCAAGCGUCUCACCCAUACCUCGCCCUCAGUGUAGAAACGAUGCGCUGAGGAGUAGGCGGACGUGGAGGUCGUGACGAAUCCCAGCACGAUUACCAAACCCCCGCUUA